rnacentral:rRNA from 1 species
GACGAACGCUGGCGGCGUGCUUAACACAUGCAAGUCGAACGGAAAGGCCCUGCUUUUGUGGGGUGCUCGAGUGGCGAACGGGUGAGUAACACGUGAGUAACCUGCCCUUGACUUUGGGAUAACUUCAGGAAACUGGGGCUAAUACCGGAUAGGAGCUCCUGCUGCAUGGUGGGGGUUGGAAAGUUUCGGCGGUUGGGGAUGGACUCGCGGCUUAUCAGCUUGUUGGUGGGGUAGUGGCUUACCAAGGCUUUGACGGGUAGCCGGCCUGAGAGGGUGACCGGCGACAUUGGGACUGAGAGACGGCCCAGACUCCUAUGGUAGGCAGCAGUGGGGAAUAUUGCACAAUGGGCGGAAGCCUGAUGCAGCAACGCCGCGUGCGUGAUGACGGCCUUCGGGGUGUAAACCGCUUUCGCCUGUGACGAAGCGUGAGUGACGGUAAUGGGUAAAGAAGCACCGGCUAACUACGUG